rnacentral:hammerhead_ribozyme from 1 species
AUUCAGCUAAUGAGUUCCAAAUAAAAUGAAACGUACGUCCUGGAU